rnacentral:rRNA from 1 species
AGAGAGAGACAUGCGCGCAUAUCAAUAAGCGGAGGAAAAGAAACUAACAAGGAUUCCCCUAGUAACGGCGAGUGAAGCGGGAAGAGCUCAAAUUUGAAAUCUUAAAGGGUUUCCCUUUACGAAUCGUAGUUUAAAGAAGUGUUUUCUGUUGAGGUUUUGGUAAAAGUUCUUUGGAAUAGGACAUCAUAGAGGGUGAGAAUCCCGUAUUUGACCUUUACUUUCAACUUUGUGAUACACUUUCAAAGAGUCGGAUUGUUUGGGAAUGCAGUCCAAAAUGGGUGGUAAAUUUCAUCUAAAGCUAAAUAUUGGCGAGAGACCGAUAGCGAACAAGUACCGUGAGGGAAAGAUGAAAAGAACUUUGAAAAGAGAGUUAAACAGUACGUGAAAUUGUCAAAAGGGAAGCGUUUGACACCAGUGUUGUUUUUCUGAAAAUCAAUUAAAGAACUGUUUAUGCCUAAGUUGUUUAGACUUUAUCAGCUAUCUGUUUAGUUUUGAGCUUUUCUUUAAUGCACUUUUCAGUUAACAAGUCAACAUCAAUUUCUUUUGCUGUAAAAAAGCUUGAGGAAGGUGGCUUGAGAUUCGUCUUAAGUGUUUAUAGCCUCUUGCCUAUGCAGUCGGAGAGAUUGAGGUCUGCAGCGUAGAUCCUUCGGGGCUAAAUGCAUUUGUGCUAAGUUAUAGCAUUUUAUAGACAACUUGUUGACUAUGAUUUGUCUUGUAGCUUACUCGCUUAUGUUAUUUUACCUACGCUUAGGAUGUUGAGCGCAUGUCUCUCUCU